GGUCCCGCCUGCCCAGUGACUCUUUAAACGGCCGCGGUAUCCUAACCGUGCAAAGGUAGCAUAAUCACUUGUCCCUUAAAUCGGGACUGGAAUGAACGGCUAAAUGAGGACUAAACUGUCUCUUACAGGCUGGCCAAUGAAAUUGAUCUUCCAGUACAAAAGCUGGAAUAUAACCACAAGACGAGAAGACCCUGUGGAGCUUAUAAACCAAAUUCACUAAACAUGUCUUAUUGGUUUUCAGUUGGGGCGACUUCGGAGUACAAAAUAACCUCCAAACAUAAAACUAAUUAAGAACAACAUAUCAAAAUAUAUUUAUUUGACCCAGCAACCCUGUAGUUGUCUGAUUAAUGAACCAAGUUACCCCAGGGAUAACAGCGCCAUCCCCUCUUAGAGUCCCUAUCGACAAGGGG
rnacentral:rRNA from 1 species